AGGAUCAUUAAUGAGUUGUAACGGGGUUUUUGAUGCUGGNNNNNNNUUUUUGGAUGCAUGUGCUCGCCCUAACAAUAAUCUUNNNNNNNNCCGUGCACACUUUUGAGGGAAUUUUGAGUUGAUUGCCACUUUUGGGUGAUUAUCUUUCAUUCCCUUAAAUUACUAUACACUAUCAGCAAUGUUGAACGUGAUUUGUGCCGCAAUGGCCAUUAAUACAAUAUAACUUUUAACAACGGAUCUCUUGGCUCUCGCAUCGAUGAAGAACGCAGCGAAAUGCGAUAAGUAAUGUGAAUUGCAGAAUUCAGUGAAUCAUCGAAUCUUUGAACGCACCUUGCGCUCCCUGGUAUUCCGGGGAGCACGCCUGUUCGAGUGUCGCGAAAUUUCUCAAGCUUGGAUGACAUUUUUGUCUGUCCUUAGUUUGGUUGUUGGGCUUUGCCGUGUCCUUCAUUGGGGACGGCUGGCCUUAAAAGCAUUAGCUGAUCCUCGUGUGGAACUGGUUCUACUCAGCGUGAUAACAGUCUGAUCGCUGAGGACAUCUUUUGGGAUGGCC
rnacentral:rRNA from 1 species